UACAUAGGUCCCAAGCGUUGUUCGGAUUCACUGGGCGUAAAGGGUGCGUAGGCGGUCCGGUAAGUCUGAUGUGAAAUCUCACAGCUUAACUGUGAAACUGCAUUGGAUACUAUCCGGCUAGAGGAAUGGAGGGGAGACUGGAAUACUUGGUGUAGCAGUGAAAUGCGUAGAUAUCAAGAGGAACACCAGUGGCGAAGGCGGCACUCUGGGACGGUACUGACGCUGAGACGCGAAAGCGUGGGGAGCGAACAGG
rnacentral:rRNA from 1 species